rnacentral:rRNA from 1 species
UACGUAGGGGGGCAAGCGUUGUCCGGAAUCAUUGGGCGUAAAGAGCGUGUAGGCGGCCCGGUAAGUCCGCUGUGAAAGUCCAGGGCUCAACCCUGGGAUGCCGGUGGAUACUGUCGGGCUCGAGUCCGGAAGAGGAGUGUGGAAUUCCUGGUGUAGCGGUGAAAUGCGCAGAUAUCAGGAGGAACACCUAUUGCGAAGGCAGCUCGCUGGGACGUAACUGACGCUGAGACGCGAAGCGUGGGGAGCAAACAGG